UACAGAGGUCCCAAGCGUUGUUCGGAUUCAUUGGGCGUAAAGGGCUCGUAGGUGGCCAACUAAGUCAGACGUGAAAUCCCUCAGCUUAACUGGGGAACUGCGUCUGAUACUGGAUGGCUUGAGUUUGGGAGAGGGAUGCGGAAUUCCAGGUGUAGCGGUGAAAUGCGUAGAUAUCUGGAGGAACACCGAUGGCGAAGGCAGGUCUCUGGGCCACUACUGACGCUGAGAAGCGAAAGCGUGGGGAGCGAACAGG
rnacentral:rRNA from 1 species